rnacentral:rRNA from 1 species
UACGUAGGCAGCGAGCGUUGUUCGGAAUUACUGGGCGUAAAGAGUGUGUAGGCGGUGCUCUAAGUUCGGUGUGAAAUCUCCUGGCUCAACUGGGAGGGUGCGCCGGAAACUGGAGUGCUUGAGCGUGGGAGAGGAAAGCGGAAUUCCUGGUGUAGCGGUGAAAUGCGUAGAUAUCAUGAGGAACACCUGUGGUGUAGACGGCUUUCUGGACCAUAGCUGACGCUGAGACACGAAAGCGUGGGUAGCAAACAGG